rnacentral:tRNA from 1 species
GCGCCCGUAGCUCAAUUGGAUAGAGCGUCUGACUACGGAUCAGAAGGUUGGGUGUUCGAAUCAUCCCGGGCGCA